rnacentral:rRNA from 1 species
AGUGGCGAACGGGUGAGUAAUACAUCGGAACGUGCCCAGUCGUGGGGGAUAACGUAGCGAAAGCUACGCUAAUACCGCAUACGAACUGAGGUUGAAAGCGGGGGACCGCAAGGCCUCGCGCUAUUGGAGCGGCCGAUGUCGGAUUAGCUAGUUGGCGGGGUAAAAGCCCACCAAGGCGACGAUCCGUAGCUGGUCUGAGAGGACGAUCAGCCACACUGGAACUGAGACACGGUCCAGACUCCUACGGGAGGCAGCAGUGGGGAAUUUUGGACAAUGGGGGCAACCCUGAUCCAGCCAUGCCGCGUGAGUGAAGAAGGCCUUCGGGUUGUAAAGCUCUUUCGGCGGGGACGAAACGGUUCGUGCCAACAUCACGGACUAAUGACAGUACUCGCAGAAGAAGCACCGGCUAACUACGUGCCAGCAGCCGCGGUAAUACGUAGGGUGCAGGCGUUAAUCGGAAUUACUGGGCGUAAAGCGUGCGCAGGCGGCUCCUUAAGUCAGAUGUGAAAUCCCCGGGCUUAACCUGGGAACUGCGUUUGAAACUGGGGAGCUAGAGUGUGGAAGAGGGGGGUGGAAUUCCAGGUGUAGCAGUGAAAUGCGUAGAUAUCUGGAGGAACACCGAUGGCGAAGGCAGCCCCCUGGGCUGACACUGACGCUCAUGCACGAAAGCGUGGGGGAGCAAACAGGAUUAGAUACCCUGGUAGUCCACGCCCU